rnacentral:rRNA from 1 species
GAAUAGGGGAGCCGGAGGGAAACCGAGUCUUAAUUGGGCGUUAAGUUGCAGGGUAUAGACCCGAAACCCGGUGAUCUAGCCAUGGGCAGGUUGAAGGUUGGGUAACACUAACUGGAGGACCGAACCGACUAAUGUUGAAAAAUUAGCGGAUGACCUGUGGCUGGGGGUGAAAGGCCAAUCAAACCGGGAGAUAGCUGGUUCUCCCCGAAAGCUAUUUAGGUAGCGCCUCGUGAAUUCAUCUCCGGGGGUAGAGCACUGUUUCGGCUAGGGGGCCAUCCCGGCUUACCAACCCGAUGCAAACUGCGAAUACCGGAGAAUGUUAUCACGGGAGACACACGGCGGGUGCUAACGUCCGUCGUGAAGAGGGAAACAACCCAGACCGCCAGCUAAGGUCCCAAAGUCAUGGUUAAGUGGGAAACGAUGUGGGAAGGCCCAGACAGCCAGGAUGUUGGCUUAGAAGCAGCCAUCAUUUAAAGAAAGCGUAAUAGCUCACUGGUCGAGUCGGCCUGCGCGGAAGAUGUAACGGGGCUAAACCAUGCACCGAAGCUGCGGCAGCGACGCUUAUGCGUUGUUGGGUAGGGGAGCGUUCUGUAAGCCUGCGAAGGUGGCCUGUGAGGGUUGCUGGAGGUAUCAGAAGUGCGAAUGCUGACAUAAGUAACGAUAAAGCGGGUGAAAAGCCCGCUCGCCGGAAGACCAAGGGUUCCUGUCCAACGUUAAUCGGGGCAGGGUGAGUCGACCCCUAAGGCGAGGCCGAAAGGCGUAGUCGAUGGGAAACGGGUUAAUAUUCCCGUACUUGGUGUUACUGCGAAGGGGGGACGGAGAAGGCUAUGUUGGCCGGGCGACGGUUGUCCCGGUUUAAGCGUGUAGGUGUGUGUUCCAGGUAAAUCCGGUUCACUUUAACACUGAGGCGUGACGACGAGGCACUACGGUGCUGAAGCAACAAAUGCCCUGCUUCCAGGAAAAGCCUCUAAGCAUCAGGUAACAUCAAAUCGUACCCCAAACCGACACAGGUGGUCAGGUAGAGAAUACCAAGGCGCUUGAGAGAACUCGGGUGAAGGAACUAGGCAAAAUGGUGCCGUAACUUCGGGAGAAGGCACGCUGACACGUAGGUGAAGUGAUUUACUCAUGGAGCUGAAGUCAGUCGAAGAUACCAGCUGGCUGCAACUGUUUAUUAAAAACACAGCACUGUGCAAACACGAAAGUGGACGUAUACGGUGUGACGCCUGCCCGGUGCCGGAAGGUUAAUUGAUGGGGUCAGCGCAAGCGAAGCUCCUGAUCGAAGCCCCGGUAAACGGCGGCCGUAACUAUAACGGUCCUAAGGUAGCGAAAUUCCUUGUCGGGUAAGUUCCGACCUGCACGAAUGGCGUAAUGAUGGCCAGGCUGUCUCCACCCGAGACUCAGUGAAAUUGAACUCGCUGUGAAGAUGCAGUGUACCCGCGGCAAGACGGAAAGACCCCGUGAACCUUUACUAUAGCUUGACACUGAACAUUGAGCCUUGAUGUGUAGGAUAGGUGGGAGGCUUUGAAGUGUGGACGCCAGUCUGCAUGGAGCCGACCUUGAAAUACCACCCUUUAAUGUUUGAUGUUCUAACGUGGACCCGUUACCCGGGUUGCGGACAGUGUCUGGUGGGUAGUUUGACUGGGGCGGUCUCCUCCUAAAGAGUAACGGAGGAGCACGAAGGUUGGCUAAUCCUGGUCGGACAUCAGGAGGUUAGUGCAAUGGCAUAAGCCAGCUUGACUGCGAGCGUGACGGCGCGAGCAGGUGCGAAAGCAGGUCAUAGUGAUCCGGUGGUUCUGAAUGGAAGGGCCAUCGCUCAACGGAUAAAAGGUACUCCGGGGAUAACAGGCUGAUACCGCCCAAGAGUUCAUAUCGACGGCGGUGUUUGGCACCUCGAUGUCGGCUCAUCACAUCCUGGGGCUGAAGUAGGUCCCAAGGGUAUGGCUGUUCGCCAUUUAAAGUGGUACGCGAGCUGGGUUUAGAACGUCGUGAGACAGUUCGGUCCCUAUCUGCCGUGGGCGCUGGAGAACUGAGGGGGGCUGCUCCUAGUACGAGAGGACCGGAGUGGACGCAUCACUGGUGUUCGGGUUGUCAUGCCAAUGGCACUGCCCGGUAGCUAAAUGCGGAAGAGAUAAGUGCUGAAAGCAUCUAAGCACGAAACUUGCCCCGAG